rnacentral:misc_RNA from 1 species
CAAUCAUCAAGCACAGCUUGGUAUUGGAUGUCACUUCUGUAGUGCAUCUUAAAAGUAUUGGCAGCAGCAUCUAGCUUCUAGUGUAGUAAAUUUCUUGCUAUGGAGUUGGGUGUUUGACUGUCAGAACCCCUAAUAUUUUAAGA